GAUCAACGAUUUAUUCAUUAGUUAUUGAGGUAUAAAUCUGUUAUAGGAAUUACUAGGGUUUGGUUUAGGAUUUAGGAUUUAGAUUAGAGUUUGAUUUAGGAGUUGGAUUUGGAUUUGGUUUAGGAUUUAGGAUUUGAUUUAGGAUUUGAUUGGGAUUUUUUUAGAAUUUAGCAUUUUAUUAGGGUUUGGUUUAGGAUUUAGGAUUUCGAUUAGAAUUUGGUUAGGAUUUGAUUUAGGAUUUAGGGUUUGAAUUAGGGUUUAUUUUAGGGCUUAGAAUUUGGAUUAGGAUUUGAUUAGGAUUUGAUUUAGGAUUUAUAAUUUAAUUUAGGAUUUGGUUAGGAUUUGAUUGGGAUUUGGUUUAAGGUUUGUUUAGGGUUUGAUUUAGGGUUUAGGAUUUUAUUAGGAUUUAAGAUUCAAUUAGUUUUGGCCUAAAGUUUGAAUGAAGUUCAAUAGGAUUUUAACUAGAAUUAAAUUAAGAUUGAAUUGAGAUAUAUUUGAAUGAUAUUUGUGAUCCUUCUAAUAUUUUUUUAAGAAUUUUUAUUGUUUGUUUGAAAUUUCUUUGAAGUUUUUUUGAAUUUGAUUAAGCUUGCUUAGCAUUAUUAUGGUCUAAUUAGAGCAUUGUUAGUAUUCUAUUAGAAUUAGGAUGUUAUUAUUGUAAUUUCCAUUCUUUCUUCCACAGCCAGGUGCUUGGAGCAUUUUCAAGCAAGACUUCACAUAUUACGACAUAUUUGGUAAACUCGACGUGGAAUGCUUGAGGUGGAAGGAUUUUGGUUUUUUUUUAUUUUUUGAAUUUUGGAGAAGAAAGACAAGAAAGUUGGAAGAAGAGCUUUGGGUGAUAUGUGAAUUGAAGCUUUCAAAUUCUUGGAGCUUUGGAGACUAUCUUAAAAUACAAUGGUAAUAUUUGGAUUAUCAUAGAGUAUUAUAAGGCUUUAUAGAUAUGUUGGAGCAUUUUGAAGUAUCAUAAGGUAUUUAUUGGAAUAUUCCAAGGAAUAGUUUUGAUCAUUAUAGAACAAAAUGGAAGAUGUGUCUCAAGGUUUUUGGAUAUGCCGAAUAUUAUGGAUGGAUCAAAUAUUAGUGAGUUUUUUAAGGCUUCAUAUAUAUUCAUGGAGGAGCAACAAAGAAUACAAGCAAUUGAAAAAGAUAUCACAAGGGUAUUGCAAGGAGUCAUCAACAAAUUUGGGAGGUUUGAAGGAUGCAACAUCACUAAGUUUUUACAAGUUUAUACAUGUGAGAUGGAGACAUGUCAAAUCCCUGAGGCAAAGAUGAUCUCAAGCUUACAUUUGGCUAUUGAACCUAGAUUUCAGAUAAAGGUGAAGAGAUUGCUUGAAGGGGAUAUAGAAACAUGAUCAAAAUUUCAAGAACUUUUGAAGAAAGAAUUUAUUGAUGGAUAUGAAGAUAAGAUUAUCAAGCAAAAGUUUUUGAAUUGGAUAGAGUUUCAAUCAGACAAGCAUAUGGAUCUUUAUGAAUUCUUGAAAGUUAUAUGACUUGUGAAAGUCAUGAGACUUUUCAAGAGCAUGAGAUUUCAAAAGAGCAUGAGAAUUUUUAAUAUUAUGAGGUUAUACAAUGCUUCGAGACAACAAAAGAUUAUGAUGUUUCACAAGGAUGCAUUCAAGAAGACAUGAAGGAUGUUAUACAAGAUUAUGUGGCAAAUGAAGAUUAUGGAACAAAAGAUAAGGAUGCUAAAUCAUUGACUAUGAUUAAAAUAAUUGUGAAUAUUUCUCUUUUGGACCAAGGUCAAAGUUACAUAGAUAAUGCACAUAUAAUAGAGACACAAUUGGAUUUUGACAAAAAUAAGGUUUAUCAUCAAGUAUGAAAUUUAAGGGUUAAAAAUCUAAAAAUCUUCAAAUAUAAAGAUAAAGAAAAUGGAUUUAAAGAUUGCAUGGACAUCAUAAAUAGGACUUAGAAUCAAAGAAAUAAGAAAAAAGAUACAAACAAGAUGUAUGUAGCUAUGCGAAAGAGGUUUCAAUUCAAUCUUUUUAUUUCAAAUUUUGUACCUCGACAAUGGUUUGGGCAUGUACAAUGGAGGAUAUUUGCAAACUACUUGCACAUGUGGAGUAAAUAGAAACAUUGGUAUUAAAAAAAAAAAAAAAAAAAAAAAAAAAAAAAAAAUUGGAGAAGUAUCAUUGUAAAGCAAGACUAUGGAGGUAUAAAAAGGAAGGUAUAUUUACAAGAUAUAAAUGCCUUUGAUUUAAGUUUUAUUGGCAAAAAAAAAAAAAAAAAAAAAAAAAAAAAAAAUUGGAGAAGUAUCAUUGUAAAGCAAGUGUAUGGAGGUAUAAAAAAGGAGGUACUCUUACAAGAUAUAGGUGCCUUUGAUUUAAGUCUUCUUGAAAAAAUAAAAUAAAAUAAAAUAAAAAAGACAGAGAAAAAAUUAUGUCUGUUGGGAACAUUAGAAGAUGAUGAAAGAUUUUUGGUAUUUAUCAAGAAAAUGGAUUGGAAGAUUCUUGAAGAAAAUUGCAUAUAUUGUAUUAAAGGAUAAUGACAAUGGGAGCAAGUGAAGCUACUCAAACAAAAGUAAGUAUAAAUAAAUAUAGAAGACUUUAUCAAAGACAUAAAUCUUUUAAGACAACAUGAUGAUUUUGAUUUGAAUAGCGAAUAUGAAGAAGAAGAAUUGGAUGCGGACAUUGAAAAUAUUAUAUAAAUCAAACAAAAUUAGAUUAUUUGGUGCAUACCGGAGGAUGCACAAGUUCAGAAGAGGUGGAUGUCGUGUUGUAAUAUGACUAUAUAGUGAAAGAUGAUAAUAUGGAUCUUAUUAUAGAAGAGCCAAGUUAAAAGAAAAGAUAGAAAAAUAAGGAUAAAAGAUAGGAAGAUAAUCAAACUUUUAGUAGUAAUGCUGCCCUUUUAGAAAAAAAUAGCUGCUACUUACUUUGUAGGGCCAAAAAUAAGGCAAAAUAAGAUAAAUUGGAAAAAUAAAUGAUAUAGACAUCUUUAGGAGGAAGUUAAGAGUAAAUUCUAGUAAAAUUUAUAAAAAAAAAAAAAACUAGAUGUUGAUACCCGGAGAUGGACGGUUAUAAACCAGGGUCAAAAUCAGAUCCUGAGGCACAAAACCGAGUUUCGACAAUGACUUUAGGACUCUUUGGCAGAUCGGAGAGUAGGAUUUGAUAGAAAAUUGAAUAGGGUUUCUAUGGGCAUUGAUUAUGGGUGAUUUGGAGUUGAUAUGACUUUGUAAGAGCUUUGCAAAGUCAAGGUUUAUUUUAGAUGACUUAGAUUUUUUGAAAUAAAAUAAGAUUUAUAUUUUGGAUGAUUUCAAGAGUUUUGUAAUAGAUCUAUAAGUGAAAUUUUGUAGGUUUAUGGUUAUAGUUUUGUUUAAUAUGUAUUGUGAAUUUGAGCUCAAUCUAACGGUUAAAUUGAGGAAUAUUGAGGUUUAAGUGGAUCAAGGUCUUAGAACAUAGAAUUCUACAUCUAGUGGGGAUUUUUAAGAUUUCUUGCAAUGUACUAGUUGGAUUGGAAUAAAACUUAUAUGAGAGGAUAUUAGACUUGUUUUUUUUAUGUAUAUGCAAAUUUUGAGAUCAAUCGAACAGUGGAAAAGAGAGAUAUUGGCUCUAGAAGUUUGGCAUUAAGAUUGGAGAAGGAGGCUGGCUAAUACCUGAGCACAUUUUUGAGGUUAUCGUCAAUUUGGUAAUUCCGAUCAUUUUCAAUUUUUUUGUGCUUAUUUUUAACUUAUUUUUUUAGAAUUGUGCAAAAUUUGAGUUAAGAUCGACGAUUUAUUCAUUAGUUAUUGAGGUUUAAAUCUGUUACAAGAAUUAUUAGAGUUUGGUUUAGGGUUUAGGGUUUGGAUUAGGGUUUGAUUUAAGAUUUAGGGUUUGGUUUAGGAUUUGGUUGGAGUUUAUUUAGGAUUUAGGGUUUGAUUUAGGAUUUGGUUGGAGUUUAUUUAGGAUUUAGGAUUUGAUUAGGAUUUGAUUUAGGAUUUAGGAUUUACAUUAGGAUUUGGUUUAUGGUUUAGGAUUUGGAUUAGGGUUUGGUUAGGAUUUGGUUGGAUUUUGGUUUAAGAUUUGUUUAGGAUUUGAUUUAGGAUUUAGGAUUUUAUUAGGAUUUAAGAUUCAAUUAGUUUUGGCCUAAAGUUUGAAUGAAGUUUAAUAGGAUUUUAACAAGAAUUAAAUUAAGAUUGAAUUGAGAUGUAUUUGAAUGAUAUUUGUGAUCCUUCUAAUAUUUCUUUAAGAAUUCUUAUUGUUUGUUUAAAAUUUCUUUGAGAUUUUUUUGAAUUUGAUUAAGCUUGCUUAGCAUUAUUAUGGUCUAAUUAGAGC
rnacentral:lncRNA from 1 species